rnacentral:lncRNA from 1 species
ACCCAAGACUGUUACCAGAAUAUUUAUUCAGAGCUCCUCUAAAUCGCUAAGAAAAAAAAAAAAUCCAUGGAAAAAUUAGCAAGCAACUUGAACAGGCACUUCACAAAAAAAAAAAAAUCCAUGGAAAAAUUAGCAAGCAACUUGAACAGGCACUUCACAAAGGAAGAGGAUAUCCAAUUGGUCAGUAAGUUUAUUAGUAGUGAGGUGCAAAUAAAAACUACCAUGAUCUGGC